CCUUGCAAGCAGAGGAGGCCUUGGUGAGGGGUGAGAGCAGGCCAGACAACUGAAACCAGCAGUGUACUGGAGGCCUUUGAACACAACUGGCAGAAGCAGGAGCUUCUGCCCAAAGCUGUGAGUUCUUCAUAACCAGUUCACUGUCUGUUGGUGAAGCUGCUCGCAAUUGACAUAACCCUGUCUAUGAAGUGCAGACUGCUGGCUAUUUUUCUUGGUUCUAGGAGUAGAAAAGAGGGACCCUUGGUGGUGUGGGCCUGACCGAUGUCGACUGGAUAGAGGGCGCUAAAGCAAGGACUUGGAGCACGACACCUUUCACUGAAGCCAGGUGCUGCUUAUAUACUGUACUUUAUGGCAAAUCCCCUUUGACACUAUCUGACUCACAGAUCAUCCAACCACCAUUAGGGCUGCUGAGGACUGAGGUAGCUUCCAGGCUCUUGGCUUAAAUAUCAAAUGGCAACAAACUCUCAAGACCUCUGUCCUCCCCUCUCUGUUUGAUCAGUAUAGCUUAACUUUAUUCACUUCAUAUUGUGCUGCCUGAUCAAACUAAUGAUACAAGGAUGCUGUCUGAGUUAGAUCAUUUAAGAUUGGAGAAUGCUGAUGAAUGGUAAAAAUUAGGUUUACUGCAGUCAUUCAGAACAUUCUGAUUGUUCACUCACUGAUUGAUUGAUUGACUGAUUUCAUGGAUAUAGAGGACACAGAGAUAACACAGAACAAAGAGUAAACUCUUAUUUCAAACAUGGUCCCUGAUGUCAUGACAGGAGGCUGUUUCAGAAAGCAGGUUUAACAAAUUCCCAACAAAGCUGAUGAGCCGUGAGAUGGAAAACAGCUGAUCAGAGUCAGUUUAAUCAACUCUGAGUAUGGUUACUCUGAGUGAAGCUCGUGCAUGUUGAAUUAAAAAAGCCCUCAUCAAUGGCGCUCCAAUACGAUGAUUCACCAUGGCAGCAGGUCAGUAAAAGGCAGAGCCUCCAUUUUAAUCCAGUGGACACAGAGAUAUUAAUGUAUGAAUGAGGACUGUGCACAUUUCUCUUAAAAAAAAAAGUCUGAGCCAGGGCAGGGAAAAGUGUCAAUGAGUAUAAUUCAAUUUCAAUUUUCAGUUUUUUUUUUUAAUAAAGCCCAAUAUCACAAAUCACAAUUUGCCUCACAGGGCUUUACCCUUUAACGGGGGGAGAGAGAGAGAGAGAGAAAAUCCAGAAAAUCAGGAGCUACGUAUACACUAUAGUGACCUGCUCAAACAAUAUAAACAAACAUUGAGAACUAAAAGAAAACACCACCUUGAAAACCAGGUGAACUUAAUUGAAGAAUCAAUAAACUCAAACAGUUUCUGGGACCACUGGAGGACCUUAAACUAUAAUAAAAAUAAUAAUAAUCUAGCCAUUCAAGAUGGAGAUAUCUGGAUAAAGCACUUUAAAGAAUUAUACCAAGAAACAAGUAACACACCUGAACAAGACCAAAUAGAAGAAAAAUUAAGCCAAUUAGAAACAAUAAUCAAAGACUACCAAAACCCAUUAGACUAUGAAAUUACUGAAAAAGAAUUAGACCAUAAACUGAAAACCCUAAAGUGUAAAAAAGCCUGUGGACCUGAUGGCAUUCUAAAUGAGAUGCUUCAACACACAGACUCCAAAUUCAGAUCAGCCAUUUUGAAACUCUUCAAUUUAGUACUCAGAGUUGGCUAUUUUCCUGAGUCGUGGAGUGAAGGACUGAUAACCCCCAUAUUUAAAAGUGGAGACAAGACAGACCCUCAGAAUUACCGUGGGAUCUGCAUAAAUUCAUGUCUGGGAAAGGUUUUAUGUAGUAUACUAAAUUCACGAACCAUAGACUUCAUUACAGAACAUCAGCCAUUAAGUAAAAGCCAAAUUGGAUUCCUCCCUAAAUUCAGAACCACAGACCAUGUUUUCACACUGCACACUUUAAUUGAUAAUUAUGUGCACAAAAAUAAUGAGAAAAUUUAUGCUUGUUUCGUGGAUUUUCAAAAAGUCUUUGACUCAAUCUGGCACAAAGGCCUUUUCUUUAAAUUAAUUGAAAGUGGUAUUGGAGGAAAAGUAUACGACCUGAUAAAAUCAAUGUAUACUAAUGGAAAAUGCUCAAUUAAGAUUGGAACCAAGAAAACAGAAUCUUUCUUCCAGAGACGUGGAGUAAGGCAGGGCUGUACCUCAGCCCCACCCUAUUUAACAUAUAUAUCAAUGAACUGGCAAAACAAAUAGAAAAGUCUCCUGGACCUGGACUGAAAUUACAAGAGACUGUAAUAAAGUGUCUCCUCUAUGCUGAUGACCUGGUCCUGUUGUCUCCAACAAAAGAGGGGCUACAGCAACACUUAUCAGAACUGGAAAAAUACUGCCAAACCUGGGCCCUGACAGUUAACCAACCCAAAACCAAAGUGCUUAUUUUUCAAAAAAGUUGCAGAUUACAGAGAAACAAUAACUGUUUCAAAAUUGGAAAAAAAACUUAAUUGAACAAACAAACCAUUAUACAUAUUUAGGACUAAACAUUUCAAACACAGGGAAUUUUAACAUGGCUGUGAAUGAUCUAAAAAACAAAGCAAAAAGGGCUUACUAUGCCAUCAAGAGAUCAAUAAACACUGAACUACCAAUAAAAACAUGGCUCAAAAUAUUCAACUCAAUCAUCGAACCCAUUGCAUUGUAUGGCAGCGAGGUGUGGAGUGCACAAACUCAGCAAGACUGGACAAAAUGGGACAAACAUCCAAUUGAAAUCCUGCAUGCAGAGUUCUGCAGAAGUCUCCUCCAGGUGCAGAGAAGAACUCCAAACUCUGCAUGCAGAGCUGAAUUAGGCCAAUAUCCUCUACUGUUAAAUAUUAAAAAACGAGCCCUAAAUUUCUGGAACCACAUUAAAACAAUUGACCCACUCUCACUUUCCUAUAAAGCCUUAUGCUGCCAGGAGCUGAACCCACAAAGGAGUCCCCUCUACCUGCUUGUCCAGAGUCUGACUGAACCUUCAACCA